rnacentral:lncRNA from 1 species
UGGAGGGUCUAGGUAUGUCUUCUUCAUCGACAAAUUUAUGUUCUAAGACUUAAAAUGACGUGGUUGUCGACAAAUAAGAAGAUGGUAAUCAUUUUUGUUCCUAAUCAUUGUAUUUUCCAAUUCUUCAUGUUCUUGAAUAAUUGGUUUCUCAAUCUGAUUUUUUCUUAUCUAAAUCAGUUUGUUUGUUCACAAUCCCUUUGUGGGUAUCCCUUUUUUUUAUCUAAAAUUCUUUUAGUUGUUAAUAUUCAUAUUAAGAAUUUUAAUUUAGGGUUUUCAUUAAAUCCAAUCUUUUGUUUUUUAGUAUUGAAUAAAAGAGAUAGAUGAAUGCAAAGAAGACAUACAUGAACCCUCCAUUGAAUCCAUCUUUAUGAAGUAGUCAAUUUUGUUGUAGGCCAAUUUUGGGCCCGUUUACAAAUUACCCGAGCCCAUUACAUCCCAACCCCAAAUAACCCACUUAAAUCAAACCUAAAACUACCCAAACCUACCCAACAGACCCAUUUUACACCCUUAGCCCAAUACUAAUCAAAUAUCACUAGCCCAAAACCUAAAAUUAACCUAGCCCAAUAACCAAGCCCAAUCCCGAAACCCUAGCUCCACACUUGUCUCUGCCACCACCCACCCACUGCAGCACCAUCCCUUAACGCCACCUGCUCCACAGUCACCUCCACCGGCCAUCAAUCGACCUGCACAAUCAAGCAAACAUGCAAGCAAUAGGUUAGGACACUGUAAAUGGCUAUAAAAAGCCAAGUCUAAAAUAUUUUUUCUUCUUCGGCAGUUUAAGCAAAAAAAAUAAGGAAAACAUUCGACUUUUGAGCAAAGAAUAGCAAUCCUAUCAAUAUUUAAAUGCAAGAAUAGCAUCAAAUUAAAGGCAAUAUCAGAGAUCGAAGGAUUAAAAGUGUGAAAAACUAAGGUGAUUCUGUUUUCAUUUUAAAUUUUGUUUUUGGGUUCAUUCUUUCACACGCAUAUAUUAAAAACAUUAAAUAUAUAAAAAAUAUAAUACCAAAAAAAAAAUUUACCUUUUUGACAUAGAAUUCCCAUGCCUAAGCUGUCAAGGAAUACCAAGAUGGGAAUCAAGCUGACUGUGGGAAAGGGAGCCCGAGCGAGGAAAGGUUUGGGAAGAUAUCAGCAAGAGAUAGUUAGAGCUCUUAAACCUGUACCCCACAAGGCUCGAUACGGUUUAGAGUUCUAGCCGGAUAUACGACAGAGAAGAAAAUAAUUACAGAAAGAUCAAGAAAGAAGGGUUGCAAGAGCUUUAGAUCGAGAAUUAGAAUGGGAGCCCAUAACGUACCCUCCUUUGUCAAAAAUAUUUACAUCUACAGGAAUGAUAUACCCCGGGCAAGAUAAUCCACGAAGCACGCUGCUAUUAAUUGAAAGGGGUCUUCAGAAUGUCAGUAUAAAUGUCAUUGACAAAGGAAAUGAUGCAAUUAAAUAUGUCUCAAUGAUACGCCCUUGUCCUCUUGGAUUCGUUUUGAACAACUGGACUGCUGUAGAUCUCCUUGUAGUUUCUAAGUCUUCUCCAGAGUAAUGCUCAAUGUUAACACUCUUCUUUUUGUGUGUCCCUAAGUAAUAGUGAGAUUCUUUUGUAAGAGCUUAUGUUUGCUCUUUAUCAUUUGAAUGAACAUUAAUGGAGAUGCAUUUUUUCAUGGUCUUUUCAUUAUCAUUAAAUUCACAAUUUUUCCCUCUUCUCACAGGCUGUCAUUGCAUAUAUCUCACAUCAUGUCAUUAUGUUUGUUGGUCUCAAUACUUUGAUAUUCCUCUAUAGUUUUCUUUUCCAUUCAACUUUUAGGUGCUCAGAUAUCAACGAUAUGAACAAACCCGUUACAAAUAUUGAAAUCAAUUUCGAGAAAGCUAUUUGUUUAGGAGAGUUCGAAGCUGAGGAAAAUGUUGAAGAAAAUGUCUCGUCUCCUGACUUACUAAGAAUGGUAGAACAAGAAGAUAAACAGAUUCUACCUCAUCAAGAAUCUGUUGAGAUAGUAAACCUGAGAAAUAAAGAAAAGAGGCAAGAAGUGAAGAUUGGGACCUCCAUUUUAGAUAACACCAAACAUGAUUUGAUCGCUUUCCUUCAUGAGUACAAAGAUGUAUUUGCAUGGUCGUAUCAGGACAUGCCAGGAUUGGAUGAGGACGUAGUGGUCCAUAGACUCCCACUGAAACCAGAAUAUAAACCCAUUCAACAGAAGCUAAGACGAAUGAUACCUGAAAUGCUGUUAAAGAUAAAAGAAGAAGUCAAGAAACAAUUCGAUGCUGGCUUCCUACAAGUCUCCAAGUGUCCACAAUGGGUAGCUAAUAUAGUUCCAGUACCGAAGAAAGACGGCAAGGUACGAAUGUGUGUGGAUUAUCGCGAUCUGAAUCGAGGAAGUCCUAGAGAUAAUUUUCAUUUGCCACACAUCAAUACAUUGGUGGAUAAUAUAGCCAAACAUUUAUUAUUUUCGUUCAUGGAUGAAUUCUCGGGUUAUAAUUAGAUAAAGAUGGCUCCUGAAGAUAUGGAGAAAACUACAUUCGUAACGAUGUGGGGAACAUUCUGUUAUAAGGUGAUGCCGUUCGGAUUAAAGAACGUUGGGGCAACAUAUCAGAUGGUCAUGGUGAUGCUGUUUCAUGACAUGAUGCACAAAGAAAUAGAAGUCUACGUCGAUGAUAUGAUCGCCAAAUCCAAGGGGGAAAGAGAGCAUGUUGGGAACCUCAAGAAGUUGUUCAAAAGACUGAGAAAGUUCCAGCUGAAGCUCAAUCCAGCCAAAUGUACGUUUGGGGCUACCUCAAGAAAAUUGCUAAGCUUCAUCGUCAGCGAAAGAGGCAUCGAAGUUGAUCCAGAUAAGAUAAAAGCCAUACAAGAACUACCACCUCCACGCAUGUAAAAAGAAGUCAGAGGAUUUUUAGGGAGGUUGAACUACAUCGCUCGGCUCAUUGCUCAACUUACCAACCACUGUGACUCAAUUUUUCGACUCCUUCGAAAACAUAAUCCGGGAGAAUGAAACAAUGAGUGCCAAGUGGCUUUUGACAAGAUAAAACAGUAUUUGUUUAGUCCCCCGGUGCUAGUACCACCAACUCCAGGAAGACCAUUAAUAUUGUAUCUGACUAUGUUUGAAAAUUCAAUGGGUUGCGUACUGGGGCAACAUAAUGAGUCGAGGAAAAGAGAAAAGACGAUAUACUAUCUUAGCAAAAAGUCCACAGAGUAUGAGGCAAAGUAUUCGUCAAUUGAAAAAUUCUGUUGCGCAUUGGUUUGGGUAGUUCGGAGGCUCAAGCAAUAUAUGUUGUAUCAUACGACAUGGUUAAUUUCAAAGCUGGCCCCAAUAAAGUACAUGAUGGAAUCACCUGCACUCUCAGGAAGAAUGGUACGAUGGCAGAUCCUACUAUCAGAAUACGACAUCUUUUAUGUGAGCCAAAAGUCGAUAAAAGGAAGUACAAUAGCUGACUUCUUAACAACUCGAACAACGUAGGAAUACGAGCCAUUGAGAUUUGAUUUCCCAGAUGAAGACUUGAUGUGCAUUACAGAAAAAGAGUGCGAGUCAUUAAAAGAAAAGUCAUGGAAAAUGAGCUUUGAUGGCGCAUCGAAUGCUUUGGGGCAUGGGAUUGGAGUAGUCUUGGUAUCACCAGAAGGGAACCAUUAUCCGUUCACUGCUAGGCUGAAUUUCUACUAUACCAACAACAUAACAGAAUAUGAGGCCUGUAUCAUGGGACUUCAUGCAGCUAUUGAACGAAACAUCGAAAUCUUAGAGGUAUAUGGUGACUCAGCAUUGGUAAUUUACCAAAUCCGUAGAGAUUGAAAAGUGAGAGAUUCGAAAUUAGUCAAAUACAACGAUCUAGUGGCAGGACUGACUAAAGAAUUCAAAGAAAUAACUUUUAAUUACUUCCUCCGAGAAGAAAACCAAUUGGCUGAUGCCCUGGCCACUUUGGCUUCAAUGUUCAAAGCGAACAGAGAAACAGAAAUAAUGCCUCUUCAAAUGAGCAUAUAUGAAUUCUCUGCACAUUGUUUCAGCAUUGAAAAAGAGCCAGACGGACGACCAUGGUUUCAUGAUAUCUUAGAAUACAUCAAGAAUCAAAGGUAUUCCGAACAAGCAAAUGAGAACGACAAAAGAACAAUGAGAAGAAUGGCAGCGGGAUUUGUUCUUGAUGGGGACAUUCUAUACAAAAGAGGAAAAGAUCAAGUGCUAUUGAGAUGCGUGGAUGAUGUUGAAGCUAGAAAAAUACUUGAAGAUGUCCAUGAAGGAAUUUGCGAGACACACGCCAAUGGUUUCACUAUGGCCAGGAAGAUUAUGAAACUCGGUUAUUACUGGCUGACGAUGGAAAGUGACUGAAUUAGUUUUGCACGAAAAUGCCACAAAUGUCAAAUUUAUGGCGAUAAGAUUCAUGUAGCCCCUUUGCCCCUUCAUGUCAUGACUUCUCCAUGGCAUUUUUCUAUGUGGAGCAUGGAUGUUAUAGGGCCAAUUUCCCCAAAAGCUUCUAAUGAACAUCUAUUCAUUUUUGUGGUUAUUGAUUACUUCACAAAAUGAAUAAAAGCGGAUUCGUUUGCCAACGUGACAAAGACCGCAGUUUGCAAGUUUUUGAAAAAAUAAAUUAUUUGUCGAUAUGCUUUGCCUGAAAGAAUCAUUUCAGAUAAUACAUUGAAUCUGAACAACAAGAUGAUGAAGGAGGUGUGUGAGCAAUUUCAAAUAAAGCAUCAUAACUCAUCAUCCUAUCGCCCGAAAAUGAACGGAGCUGUUGAAGCGGCCAACAAGAAUAUUAAGAAAAUUAUUGGGAAAAUGAUCGAGACAUAUAAAGACUGGCACGAGAAGCUACCAUUUGCUUUGUAUGCAUAUCGCACAUCUGUACGGACAUCUACGGGAGCAAUUCCUUUCUCUCUAGUCUAUGGAAUGGAAGCCGUGUUACCCAUCGAAAUUGAGAUCCCUUCUCUACGAGUCUUAAUGGAGUCAAAAUUAGAGGAAGCAGAAUAGGUUCGAGCUUGAUAUGACUAUUUAAACAUCAUCAAAAAAAAUGUUUAAAGGCAAUUUGUCACAGACAGAUGUACUAGAAGAGAAUGAUCGUGGCCCACGAUAAGAAAGUACGGCCGAAAGAAUUCCACGAAGAAGAACUCGUGCUGAGCAAGAUUCUUCCAAUACAAAAAGACCUGCAAGGAAAAUGGGCACCAAAUUGGGAAGGACCAUAUGUCGUAAAGCAGGCUUUCUCGGGUGGAGCUUUGAUUGUCACUGAGAUGGAUGGGAAAGAGUUAUCUAACCCUGUGAACUCAGAUGCUGUAAAGAAAUAUUAUGCCUAAAAAAAAAGAUGAGAUCAAUGUGAAAACCCGAAAAGGGCAUCUUGAUUAACACAAAAAAUUAGGAUGAAAACCCGAAAGGGCUUCCUAAUGGAGUAAACCCGGGCUUAAAGAGCAAGGCAGUUGAACGGUGGGUCAAACAACAAGACUACAGUAUUUGAAGCAUUUUCAGCAGCUCAAAAUCUUCUACGCAAAAAGCCAUGCUCGAAAAGAUUCUUGAUUGAAUAACGUGGAAGAGUUCAUGCGUUGAAUAUCUAGAGCAUUUGUAUCCAUUGAAUGCGAUCCCUUUUUUCUUUAUGACACUUUUUUACUAUCAUUGGUUAACUUUCUUCGUUUGCUACAUUUGAAAUAAAUAAAUGUGAGGUACCCUUUGUGUCCUUACCUGACCAUUUUCAUGCAUCUCAUUAUGUGGUUUAUUUAAAUGAUAAAUAGUGAAAUGACAUACUCUGGACAAAAGAAAUGUUGAGCAUUACCCGGAUAAGAAUUUGAUAAGUACAAGAGUCUCAAAGUAAGGACAAAGUUCAACGAGGGGCAAAAUAGUGAUAUUUGAGAAACGUUGAUUACUCGUGAAGCUUGAGGAUGGGUACAGGGCCUAAAGAGAAAGUCAAAAGCCGAAGUAAUGAAUACAGAUCAUCAUAAAAAUCGUGACGAAAAAGGACAUAUGAGAAACAUGCCUAAGGCGCAUAGCAUAAUCAUGUAGGCAUAAAGACAUUUAAGACAAACGUGUGCAUAUCAUGAUAACAUCAUGCAAGACAUAUACAAGUACUCCAGUAGAGCAAGAAGAUGUGAUGAUAGCUGUACUGAAUCAAAGAAAAGACACCUGAGUUCCACCAGAUGACAGGUUUUGGUUUUUUGAUAUUUUUAUUUCUGUUUUCAAAAUUCAACUCAUAUUGCGAGAAAUGAGUUGAGCCUCAAGACACGUUGAGGUAUUUUCAAUUUUCUUCUCUAAAAAAAAAAUCAACUCAUAUUGCGAGAGAUGAGUUGAGCCUCAGGACACGCUGAGGUAAUUUCAAUUUCUGUUUGUCAAAAAUCAACUCAUAUUGCGAGAGGUGAGUUGAGCCUCAGGGCACACUAAGGUAUUUUCAAUUUCUGCUUUUCAAUUUCUACUUUUCAAAAAAAUCAACUCAUAUUGCGAAAGGUGAGUUAAGCCUCAGGACACGCUGAGGUAUUUUCAAUUUCUAUUUUUCAAAAAUCAAUUCAUAUUGCUAGAGGUGAGUUGAGCCUCGGGUCACAUGCCAAGGUAUUUUCAAUUUAUGUUUCAAAAAAAUCAACUCAUAUUGCGAGAGGUGAGUUGAGCCUCAAGUCACACGCUGAGGUAUUUUCAAUUCCUGUUUUUUUAAAAAAGUCAACUCGUAUUGCGAGAGGUGAGUUAAGCCUCAGGUCACACGCCGAGGUAUUUUCAAUUUCUAUUUUUCAAUUUAUGUUUCAAAAAAAUCAACUCAUAUUGCGAGAAAUGAGUUGAGCUUCAGGUCAUACGCUGAGGUGAGUUGAGCCUUGAGUCACACGCUGAGAAUAAAGAUUGGAGCUAAUUGAAGACACCAGAUUUUGUCUCCCUGAAGUUGCAGUGGAGCUGACCGAGGAUAUCAGAUCUUGCCUUUCUAAAAGAAAAAACCACAAACCUUAUCUGACUGAAGCAAUAGAAGAGCAGAUUGAAGCUGUAGAUCUUAUCUUUCUGAAGUUGCAAUGAAGCAGAUCGAAGCCACAAAUCUCAUAUUCUUGAAGUUACAUUGGAGUAGAUCUAAGCUACAAGGCAUAUAUCAGAAAAUGCAGUGGAUUGAACCAAAGCUACAAGAUGCGAUGGGCUGGAAAGAGACUACUUGAACAAGAAGAGCACCAACGAAGUCAAAACUCAGCAAGACUGGGAAAAAUUAGCCUUUCUUUGUGUCUUUGCUCUAUUCCCGUUACACGACAAUGAGCAAAGAAAGGCAGCUGUUGUAGGCCAAUUUUGGGCCUGUUUACAAAUUACCCGGGCCCAUUACAUCCCAACCCCAAAUAACCCACUUAAAUCAAACCUAAAACUACCCAACAGACCCAUUUUACAUCCUCAGCCCAAUACUAAUCAAAUACCACUAGCCCAAAACCUAAAAUUAACCUAGCCCAAUAACCAAGCCCAAUCCCGAAACCCUAGCUCCCCACUUGCCUCUGCCACCACCUGCCCAUUGCAGCACCAUCCCCUGGCGCCACCUUCCCCACAAUCACCUCCACCGGCCAUCAACCGACCUGCACAAUCAAGCAAACACGGAAGCAAUAGGUUAGGACAUUGUAAAUGGCUAUAAAAAGCCAAGUCUAAAUUUUUUCUUCUUCUUCGGCAGUUCAAGCAAAAAAAAUAAGGAAAGCAUUCGACUUUUGAGCAAAGAAUAGCAAUCCUAUCAAUAUUUAAAUGCAAGAAUAGCAUCAAAUUAAAGGUAAUAUCAGAGAUCGAAGGAUCAAAAGUGCGAAAAACCUAAGGUGAUUCUGUUUUCAUUUUAACUUCUGUUUUUGGGUUCAUUCUUUCACACACAUAUAUUAAAAACAUUAAAUAUAUAAAAAAAUAUAAUACCAAAAAAAAUAAAAAAAUAAAAAAUUUUACCUUUUCCUGCCACCGUGGACAGUGACCAGCCCUGUGGCCGGAAAUCGCUCAGCUCUCCCUCUCUCCCUUUUUUUUCUUUUUCUUUUACCUUGGUUACAAAUGUUUUUUUUUUCUGAUUUUUAGGCUAUUUAUAGCGUUUAAAAACGGUGCCGUUUUGGCAUUAAAACCUAGGGCACAAAACGACUUCGUUUUGCCCUGGGUCGGGUCGACCCGACUCUAUCCACUCAGGAUCCGCGUAUUUUUGCUCUUAGGGGCUAAUUGCGCGCGCGGUCCUUCCGCUUUUUCCAUAUUUUGCAAUAAAGUUAUUAGUUCUUUUAAAUUGGCCCUGAAAUUUAUCGCGCUUUGCGAUUUGGUCCUCCCAUUCAACGACAUCAUUUUAAGGGUUCGGGUAAAUUGCUUAUUUGAUCCUCUGAAGUUGCACGCGCAUUCAAAUGGAUCCUAUUGUUUAUCUUUUAUUUUAAAAUUUCCCCAAAACUUUGAUUUUAAUCCAAUUUAGUCCUUUUUUCAUUUAUUUUUCGUAUUUAUCCUGAAUUUUAUAUUAUUUUUGUUAUUUAAUUCGGCUUUAAAUAUUAUUCAUGUUAUAUAUAGUAUUAUUAUCACUAUAUUUUUAUAUUAUUAUUAUAUUAUAUUUAGCUAUAUAUAUAUAUUUUAUUUCGUUUUUACUAUUAUAUGCAUAUAAUUUUAUUAUUAUAUUUAUUAUUAAUAUUAUUAGUACUAGGAUUUUCACUUAACAUUUAUAUAUAGAUAUAUGUACGUACUUAUGUAGUGUAUUAAUAUUUUUGUUAUCAUUUCUAAUACAUAUAUAUUAUAUAUAUUUUAUAUAUAUUAUGUACAUAUUUUUAAUGUUAUUAGUUAUAUAUUUCUUAUACUAUUCCAUAUAUAUAUUUCUACAUUAUCUCAUGUACAUAUUCUGAAAUAUUAUAUUAUAUAUAUUUAUAUGUAUACAUGUCUAUAAAUUUUAAUACCAUAUUAUGUAUAUGUUAUUAUUAUAUCUAUUUUUAUCCCUUUUAUAUUUAUUAUUAAUAUUAGUACAUAUAUUUUAUAUGGGUAUAUAUAUACUUUUUCUAUAUAAUAUUAUUUUCAUAUAGUGUUAUAUUUAUUAUUAUACUUAUUAUUUUCAUUAUUAUCACUUAUUGUUUUAUUAUUGUGUGUUAUUUGGUGUACAUACAUCUUAUUAUUAUUAUUAUUAUUAUUGUUGUUGUUGUUGUUGUUGUUAGUAUAUAUGUAUAUAUCUUUAAUAUAUAUCUGUAUAUAUUUAUGCAAUACUAUUAAUAAUUGUUUUGUAACAUUAUUAUUAUUUCUAAUAUGUAUAUAUAUAUAUUUUAAUAACUAUGUUAUGUACAUACUUUUAAUGUUAUUAUGUGUUUAUUUUUUAAUAUAUACGUAUAUAUUCGUGUAGUGUUAUUAAUAUAUAUUUGUUUGUUAUUAGUAUUUCUAAUAUAUAUUGUAUAUAUUCGUUUGAUAUUAUUAUGUGUAUAUAUAUAUAUUAUGUAUAUAUUUGGUACUAUUAUGUAAAUACUUUUCAUUCCUAUUAUUACGUAUAUACUUUAAUGUAUAUAUAUGCAUAUAGCACUAUUAGUUUUUUUAUUAUAUUAAGUUUACGUCACUUUACUUAUUAUUAUAUGUUUAUAUAUACGUUCAUCCUUAUUUCGUGUUUAAUACUAUUGUCAUCAUGUUUAAUAUCGCAUACGUUGUUAUUAUUUUUUAAUAUUAUCAUCGUAGAUUAUUUGUUUCAAUGUAUCUCAAACUCUGUUAUUUUUUGUUUCCUGCCCAUUUUGUAUCAUCUCGCUGUUCACCGCUUUAAAGAUUUUUAUCCAUGUUUUUAAUUUCAAUAAAUAAGGCAAUGUACCGAUUUAACAUUAAGCCAUCGAUUUCAUCGCUAUGUUGGGUGAAAUUCGUUGGCUCGUGUUAAAAAUGGAAUACCCUUCUAAAAAAUCGAAAACUAAAAAUUUUCAUUUUUCAAUUGGAUCACGAUUAAAUGUCAAAUUGAAUUCGUACUUUAGAAAAUCAAGACAACAUGAGUUUAAUAAAGAUACCAAUUUUGGACGUCGCGAGGGUGCUAAUACCUUCCUCGUGCGUAACCGACUCCCGAACCCUAUUUUUCUCUGGAUUUUCGCGUAGACCCAAAUUUAGCCUUCAUUUUUGUUCAAGAAUAAAUUUUCUUUUCAAAAAAGAUGAUUUAUUAGGUGUCCGAUCACACCUAGAAAAAAGAUCGGUGGCGACUCCCUUUUUUAAUGAAACCGAAAGUCGGUUUUCAAAUUUUCAAUAAGUCAUCUUAAUUAGCGAUCGAAAGUAAAAAUUACGUCGCUACAAAUUUGAUUUCAACUAUUUUAAAGUUUCUAGUUAAUUAAAAUGAGGAGAUGAACAGUUUUUUUAGUUAAUGUUUAAGUUUAAAAUUUUUAAUUAAAAAUCUAUUUCAUCCCAUUUAGAAAUCCAAGUUGGCAUCUAAAAUCUAGUUGGACUGCCACGUAGGAUUACCGUUAGAGAGAUAAUGAAACUUAACGGUAGAGUGAUCACUUCAUAACAAAAUAGUAACAUAAGUGACUAAAAUGUAACAUUUCAAAUAUAAGUGACUAAAUGUAACAUGAAGUAAACAAAAGUGACUAUUUUUAUAAAUUAACCUUUCAUUAUUUGAGCCUACAUUAACAUGAUUAAUAUGUAGUUUUUAUCAAUGAGAUAAAUAUGUAAAAAAGUAAAAUUAAAGAUAUAAGUAUGAAUAGAUACGGUAAAAAUAAUUCAACUCUCUCAAUUAGAUUCAUAGUUAUCUUUUUCAAUUAUGUAUAUCAUUUUUAAAGUUCUCUAAAAAAAUGUAAUAUUUAAAAUUUCGAAAAUAUAUUGUGCGGGUAAAAGUAAUAUGAAAGUACCUUAUAUUAUGUUGAGGAAAAACUUGUGUAAGCAACGAAUAAUAUUAAUAAUAAAGAAAUUGAAAAGACCAAACACAUAAAUUUUACGUGAAAAAUCUCCUCUAAAGAAGAUAAAAAAUUACGAUAAAAGAAGAUUUAAUUAAUAAGAGAAAAGUAAAAAAUGGAGAGAGUCAAAACAAAGAAAAAACACGAAACCCCAAAAGCAAAACCCCUUGAAACUGAAACAUAUAAUUCUUUCUUAAUUGUGUUAUUUUUUAUGUAUAAACCUAGGGUAACUAUAGCCCUUUUAUAGGCUGAAAUUUAUAACUUUUAUAACUAAAACAUCCCUAGAUUAAUUAGAGACCAGUUCAGAAUUUAACUGAAAGAAGGAAAUCAAGAAACUUGAGGAACACGACGUCACGCUGUGUAUUUUUAUUGUUAUUGUACGUAAAAUUAAACAAUAAACUGAUCUUUUUGUUAAAAAAUUUAUCUAUUUUUAUUGUUAAAGAAUAAUGUAGUAUGACAUAUAAAAAUUAAUAUGUUUAUUUUUUAAAUAAAAUAAAAUCUAAUUAUUAAUACUUUUUAUGCUGAAUGAUGAUGAUAAUAUUCAUGAAUAACGCGCGUAAAUUGAAUGGGUCAAUUCAUCUGACUUCAGUUAUAUUUAAUUUUCACCAAAAAUAUACCAUUAUCAUUGAUGUUUUAGUGCAUUUAUUCAUAGCAAAUAUGAAUAUAAAUAAAGUCUCCCCAAAAGAGAGUACAUUAAUAUCCUAUGCUAUUUAUCGACUAUAUUUAAUAGUUGUUUUAUUGCAUAAUUGCAUCUUCCACCAUCACUCAUCUACCACACUAUUCUUAUAAAUGCUUGCUUUAUUUAUAUUAUUUUAGCUUCACCUUUUUGCCUACUCAUACCAUUUAUUCUCCACAAUCAAAAUUAGCAAACUAAUGAACUCCAUGGAUUCAUUAAAUUUUUGGUUAACUUUGAAUUAAGUUGGCUAAUUAGAGAGGGAAAUCUGACAACAAAAAAAAAAGAAAAAGAAAAGGGUAGGGUAAGUGAAAGAAAAUAGCCUUCAAUUCCAAGAAAAUUAAAUCAUAUUGAAUUAUUUUUAUGUUGGAAUGAGAGCUGAAAAGAGAGCAAAAGAACAAAUUUAAUAAAUAAAACUGAUUUGCAUGAACCUGCAUGCACACAAUUUGGAUUAUUUGAAAAAUAACAGUCUGAAGACAAAUUCAAUGCAAGGAUUUUAAAUUUUUUUUUCUUAAAUUUUGGUGCUAUUUUUCAACAAGUUGCAUAUAAAUGUAUAAUUCAUUCAACAAAUGUCACUGCUUUUUCAGUUUUCUAUUUGGAUUUUACGAUCAAGUAAAACAAAUUUAUAAAUUUGUUUUAUUUUCUAUUUUUAAUAGUGAAAGGAAAAGUUUCAAUUUAAAAUAUAAAAAAUAUUAUUAAUUAUUAAAAGGGAAAAUUACAUCAACAAUAACUCAACUUUGAGGUAGCUGACAAAAUAGUACUCUGGUUUCAAUUCAGUCACUCAACUUUUAAAAAAAAACAAAACAGUCACUAACGUUAUCAAAAAGCGACAAAUUAGUCACCCGUUAACAUUUACUGUUACAGGCCUAACGAGACAGGUGAUGUGGCCAGUUAACUUGCCACGUUGGACGAGACAAAGUUUCAAUUUAGUCACUCAACUUUAAAAAAAAUAACAAAUCUAUCACUAACGUUAUCGAAAAGUGACAAAUCAGUCACCCAUUAACAUUUUUCAUUACAAACGUAACGAGACAGGUGACAUGGUAGUAAAUUAGCUAAUGUGGUUAAUUAACUUGCCAAGUUAGACGAGGCAAAGUUGAGUGACUUUUUUUUGUCCUUCCUUUUUCGUUUUUCAUAAAUGGCCCAAUAUUUUUACUUUUUGUGUAAAUAACCCAAUAUGUUUAUACUUCUUCUUCUCCAUCCCAACAAUCUUGCUGUUACCGUCUCCACCACAACCAUCUUUAGCGUCACCAUCGUUGACCUCCAAUCCACCACCCUGUCUUUUCUUUUUUCUUUUUCAGCCCCUCAAUAGAGGAGCCACAUGGUUGGGAUCCUACUGUAUUUUUCUAUUGUCCAAAGCCAUUAACUCUAAAAAAACUAGAUCGAAAUGGGAUUGAAGACAAUUUUGGGUCAAACUAUCAGUACCCACAACCAAACCGGUGAGGAGAAAAUCCUCCAAAGCAACAUGCAAGCGAUUCAAGAACCAAAAUGACUCAGAUUUGUCGAGAUCUUCAUGGGAUAUGAUGAUAUAAACAAAAAGGUUGUUGAUUAAGCUAAACAACACUAACUCCAUUGCCAACAUUAUCAAGUUGCAUAAAAAAAAACAAAACAAUGGGAACAUCCAGACAAACCAAACAAUCGAUUGAACCCGUGAUUUUUGGGAACAAAGGAAGCGGUUCCUCCAAAGGGACAACCAAAUGUUGACAAGUGAAAUUCUAGGUUAGGUCAGUGAUUAGCAAGAUCCCAAAGUCGAAAUUGGACUAGGUGCUGUAGCAAAGGAGGAUGAGAGAUGGAUCAGAAGAAGAGCGGCGGAGAUGGUUGGCAACGAAAGUUGGGGUCGAGGUGAGGUAAGCCCAGUCAUUGGAAAGGGAUUUGAAUCAAGUCACGAACCUAAGGGGUAAUCUAGAAAGGAUAUCGAAAAUGGUAUUUUGGGUUAAUGACAAUGAGGAAGCCACGGUUCUCUGCUUUCUUCCUGAACAAGAAGAAUUCAUUCGAGGGUUUUAUUUGUUCUUCUUUUUGGGUGUCCGGUUUUUUAAAUUUAGUAAGACCGAUUUGUUAUUUUUUGAAAGUUGAGUGACUGAAUUGAAAGUUGAGUGACUGUUUUGUCAUUUACCCUUAUAUAUUUUUUGGGUUGGAAAUAACGUGGUGGUCAGGUAACUACCAUGUCACUUUUCCGUUACGUCUAUAACGAAAAAUGGAUAAAAAUUCUGUUUUGAUAUUUUUCGAAAGUUGAGUGAAUGAAUUGAAACCAGAGUCACUGUUUUGUCAGCUACCUCAAAGUUGAAUGACUGUUGGUGUAAUUUACCUUUAUUAAAAAUAAGUUGACGUGUUUUGAUAUACUAGAAAAAUAUAUUUUUUUUGUGGUUAAAGAGAGCCCUUAGUACAUUUUUAGAGUUAAUUAAGAUAUAAUUAGUCGAUUGAGUAUUAGUUCGGCCAAUAUGAGUAUUAUUGUCAAUGCAGGAGGAUUGUGGGUUCAACUUCAAGUGAGCUGAAAUAAAUUAUCCUCCUAUUUAUAGGUUGGGAGGAGUUAUAGGUAAUUUUAGAUAUUUUCUCAAAAAGAACAAAUAUGAUCAGAAUCUAUAAUAGUAAUAUUUAAAAAAAAUACAUUAACCAAAUUAUAUAAAAAUUAAUCAUAAAGUUGAUUCAUCUUACGCUGUGUAAUUAUAUUAGUGUUUUCCAAAUAAUAGCGUUCUACUUUGCAUAAUAAAGGGUUUUAUUCACAAUUAAGUACAUUUCAUAAUCAAUUAAUGGAUUAUUUAUAAUAAUAAAAAAUAUUAUUGUAUUAAAUGCAAUACAUAUUUUUUUUUCUUAUUUUCAUAUAUUCAAAUAAAAUUUUUAUAUAUAAUUUUAAAAAAUAUAUAAUAAUUUAUUUGACCUUUCAACUUUAUAAAAAAUUUAUUUUAAUUAUUCAUUUAAUUUUUCACUUUUUUUAACCAUUAAACUUACAUUAUUUAUCAAAUCGCUUCAAAAUAAAUAAAUAAAUAUACAUAUAAAUUGUCAUAUGAAUGCCGUUCACAAUAUAAAUAAAAUACAAAAAGUAAUUAAAAAUGUAAAAAAAAAAUACAAAAUGAACAUAAUAUAUUAAAUAAAUUAAAUACAAAAAAUAAUAGAAAUAUUGAAAUGAAUGGUUGAUUAAUAAUGAAAAGAAUAGUAAUGCAAAUGCAUGUGCAUGCACAGUAAUACAAGAAAAAGAAAAAAAAAGGUUUGAAGAUUUGAAAAGAGACAAAAAGACAAGAGUUCAAGAUACAGUUUGGAUUUCCAAGAUUCUAUUUCUAAUUUACCAUCUAUCUUUUCCCCAUAUUUACACUCUUGUCCUUUUCCUUUUUUAUAAUUAUGACAAUAAUAGAAAAAAAAUUGUAGCUUUAGUAUUUCAAAUUCAAAAUUAUCAAAUAUUUUUUUUCAUGAAAUGUUAUUAAUGGAGUAGUAUAUGCCACUUCUCCAUUUGCAGCUUUUAUUCAAACUUUUGAAAUUCUCUUUCUCUCCCCAUCCUGCUUCAUUUUCCCCUUUUUUAUUUUUCAUUCAUUGCCUUGCAUUUCGGUACUCAAAAAGCUUUCUCAUGGCUAUCAUCUACUUUCUUUUAUAAGGGUAAGAUAUAUAUAAUCCCUUCUUCUUCGUCUUCUUCAUUAUUUCUUGUUUUUUUUUUCUUAUGAGAAGAAGGGUUUUAUCAUGUAUGUUUUAAUCCCAGCUAUGAAGCUUGCAUAGUCUAGUUUCACAUUUUAUGUGAUUUAAAACCCUUAAUUUCUUUGCUAUGGAAAACAUGCAUUAGCUUGUGAAAACUGGGUUCAACUUCAUCUUCAACAUGAAAACUGGGUUCUACUUCAUCUGAUCCACAAAAUUGUUCUAUUAGCUAACCAUUGCAUGGCUUCUGCUGCAGAAUGCUUUGAAGUUUAUUAUUAUUUUUUAAGAUUAUGAUUGUUUUAAUAUUUUUUGAGUUAAUUCUUCUCAUUUGCAGCAAACAAGUAAGAACUGUGUCUGAUUGUCUGCAUAAUAAGCCAAAUAUUUUCAAACCUUAUUUUUAUUUUUGUAAUAUUUUGAUUUGCAUUUUGCUUGACCUCACCAUCACGCGCCAUGGUGGCGCUUACAUUGAUUUUGACUCGGAAAACCCUGACAGGCGAGGCAACGCAUGCCUAGCUUCCCUUCCUUUAAUCAUACACCAAAAUUUAGCUUACUCAAAUUUACUAAAAUGCCCUUGGAAUGUUUAUAAAUGCAUAUUUUUUAUGCAUGGUUAACUGUCCAUAUAAUGGGGUGCAUAUACAUAUACAUAUACAUAUACAUAGAGAGUGAAAAAAGGGCUUUUUUGCACUGCCCUAGAAAAGCUAGUGAAAAUAACCAUGAAAAAUAUAUAUGAGGCAUCAAAAGACAUGGGGGACUGGAAAAGUGAAAACUGUUUUUGGGAUUUUUUAUUAUCUCUUUUCAUUUUUAGAGGAUAUGUUUUUUGUUUGAUAGUGCUUUGAUUAUAUGUGGUUUGGUUUGACUACUAGGAUGACUUUCUACUUUUAUCUGUGGGAAAAAAAUAUUAUGCAGAAGAUCUUUACAAGUUUGCUAUCUGAUACUUGAAUUCAUUUGUUAUUAGGGUUUUCCCCAUUUCUUUUUUUAUCUCUAUAUGUAUUAGAACAAAGGUAUGAUAAGCCUUAUGCAAGUAUGGAAAUUGACCAAGUAGUAUUGAAAAAAUUAUGUGGAUACUCAAUUGCUAACAAAUUAAAACUAGAUGAUGAUAAUGAUAUAAUCUUAAAUGGCCUUUGCAUUGUCUCGUUUUUUCUCAUCUGCCCAAUGCAGCUACAAGUGUGUAUAUAUAUAGAUAUUUUUUUAUAGAGGAUCAUUUGUGCAACCCAAAGUGGGAUCUUGAGGGGGAAAAAACUGAACUUGGCAAUGGUUUAUAGCUUUAAAUGGAAGGAAUCUUAGAGACAAGUUUGAGGAUUUAACUCCCCAAACCAAAAAUUUGAAAGCCCCAGAAUUAUAAAAUUGCCAUUGUAGCAGUGCCACUAUUUGCCUCAUUUAAUUCAUGUUCUACAUUGUGGUGAAAAUAUGAUAUCACUCUUUACUUAGAGAUUUUUAACCCCAGAAGUCAAAGUCAAUAGCCAUACACUUGCCUUAAAUAAUUGAAAAAGAAAGUUGAUUUCAAACCUGCCUCCGUUACAUGGUUUUGUACACCAUAGUCAAAUGCAGGUGCCCACCUCAUAUAUAUGGUAGUCCAAGGUGUUCUUAUAUAUAUACAUAUAUAUUGUUCUUAUAUAUAAUCAGAUGCAAGGUGCUACAAUGGUGGAUCGAAGUGUUCUUAUAUAUAUACAUAUAUAUUGUAUAUUUAUAUAUGCCAUUCUCACUUUUUUCUUUGGUGUACUUUUAAGUUUUGCAGGUCACAAGUUUUUGACUAAUUAGUUCUGUUUUCUCUUCACAAACUUCUUCAAUAUUGAAAGUGCCAAGAUGCCAAGAUCAAGGUGAGAAUCUAAUAUGCCAUGAACUAAUGAAUAUAGUUGUUUGUGUUUUAGUACUGUUAAAUCUAGUAUAUUUUCGGGUUUUUAAUACUUUUUAUUGAAAUGGAAAGUUCCAUGUAUGUAGAAUAAUCUUGGCAUUCAAGCAAAAUGACAUGAUUUGCUUGUGUUACAUGUUUGUUGUUUUUCCUGACAUGACAUGUUUGUGUUUUUAUGAGGACUAGGGGCUCGGACAUGCCACAAAGGCAAUCUCCUCGAGGGACGCAUCAGGUUAGGUCAUCGAUUUCUGAUUCAGACCCUUUGCAUCAUCGAUCCAUUACUGAUCGUAGUAGUCCUAAGCUUGGAGAUCGUCGUUCACCAAGAGGUGCUCCACAAUCUGAUCCAUUGAACCAAAAGAAGCUUGGCACUCGUAUUGCGGAUUUAGAAUCUCAACUGGGGCAAGCACAAGAAGAGCUGAAGAAUCUCAAAGACCAGUUGGCUUCAGCAGAAGCUGCAAAGAAAGAAGCGCAACAAGAGCUGGAAAAUAAGACCAAGAAGCCUAAAGCUCGGGAAGCUGUUGAAGUUAAUGAGAAGGUUUCUCCGAAAAGAACUCGAGAUUCUAAGAAAUCUGAUUGUAGCAUCAGAGAAGAAGUUUCUGAAGAUAACCAACAAGAAACUGAUGUGUUUGAAGUCACAGUGGAAAAAACAGCAAUUGAGCCUAAGGUGGAAACCGAAGAAGUCGAUCAAGUAGAUGAGAAAACCAAUGCAAUAGAGAUAUCGAGUGCACCACCAGCAGAAUCCAAGCUGGAGAAACAAUUUUUCCAAGACUUGGCUUUGAAAAACGAUGAGAUCAAUAUGCUGAAGUCCAAGCUAGAAGAAAAAGAAAAGGAGCUUGGUGUGUUCACUCAAGAAAAUAAGGACCUGAAAAAGCAGCUCAAUGAAGCGAACUUGAACAUUUCAAGUGCUAAAGUUAAGGAAGAAGAAAUGGCAUUGAAGUUGGGCCAAGUAGGGGAGGAGCUGGAAGCAAGCAAAACAAAUACAACUCAAUUGAAGGAAAAGCUUCAAUCAGUGGAAGAACAAAAGGGGGCAUUGGAAGCUGAAAUGAAGAAGCUAAGGGUACAAACAGAACAAUGGAGAAAGGCAGCAGAUGCUGCAGCAGCUAUUCUUUCCGGUGGCGUGGAAAUGAACGGGAGGAUUUCAAACAGGUGUAGCUCAAUGGAUAAGCAUUUCAAUGGCGUGUUCGAGACACCAGCUGGUGGGUUUGCUGGUUAUGUCGGAUCACCAGGCUUAGCUGAUGAUAUAGACGAUGGUUUCGGAAGCGGAAAACGCAAAGGCUCUGGGAUUAAAAUGUUCGGAGACUUAUGGAAAAAGAAGAGCCAGAAAUAAAACUUGAAUGACGACAAAGUGGCAUAUUAUUGUGAAAUGGUUACUCACCAUUUCAGUUUUUGUUGGUCCAUGUGUUCCGAUCAAUGCAGUCGGUUUUUGGCUGCCAUAUCGUAGUAUGCAAUGUAAUGUUAUUUAAGGAUGAUCUUUUAAUAUGUUGUGUUAUUUUAUGAGGAGCAUUUGUUGAACCACUCUGUAAAAAAACCAAGGUUGCAUCAUCUAUGUCCUAUUUCAUUCAAAUUUAGCUAUGUUUCAUUUGAUUUGUAGAGCUUGAUUUGGCCAUUCUUGAAGCAUGUUGUAACAAAAACAAGUACAUUAGGAAAACUGGAAUUAAAGCCUAACAGAAACACCAAAAGUUACAGAUUAUGCAAAUCCUAGAAAAUUUGUCUUAACAAUGAACAAGAGAGCUACUUUAUGCUUCUUGGGACUUGUAAGAUUCUAACAUCAACUUAGCUUGUUCCAUUAUCAAAUCAUUCCUCUCCAAGAACAACUUGCAACGUCCUCCAUUUCUCCUCUAAAGCAGCUGCCUUUUCACCCCUAAUCAUAUCCAAUCUAUCACGUGGGUAAUUUGAAACCAACUUUUAAUGCUAGGAAAAGUAAAAAAGGUGAGGAUAGAUCGUUUUCUAAGGCACAUGAACAGAGAAUCCCCACCCUUUUUACCUCUCCCAACAUUAAGAGUUGCUUCUUUUCAUCUUCAUCCGUCUUUUCAACCCAUGGAAGGAGGUAAUUUCAAAGAGCAAAAAAUCCAUACCCCAACCUGUUAAAUCUUCUUCGACCAAGCGGUCUACUGUUUUCUUCUUCACCUCGUCAUCAACAACAAUAACAUCAGGUGAAGAAAGCCGACGAAGAAAGAUUCGGUUCUCUUAAUGUUAUUGUUGUUGAUGACGAGGUGAAGAAGAAAACAGUAGACCGCUUGGUUGAAGAAGAUUUAACAGGUUGGGAUAUGGAUUUUUUGGCCUUUGAAUUACCUCAUUCCUAGGGUUUGUAUUAUAUAUUCCCAAUUCAUAGUUGAAACCGCUUUAAAUUUUUUUACUCAAAUCUUUUCAAAUUUCAAACAUACCAAGACUAAGUUGACUUAUGAACAAUUCUACUAUUCACAUAAAACAAACAAAAACUUGUAACAAAGGGAUGAACCAAAUCGCUCCCUCGGCCUACGAGCAUGUUAGCACAAUGGUUACACUCCCUACACGUGCUUCAUUUGGUAUUGGAAAUCCUCAAGGAGAAUCUUGCAAUCAUAAAUAAAAGUAUGUAGUAAGGUUGCAUUUUUCUCGUAAUAAAAUUAUGAGAAUAUAAAAUUACAAAUAAAAUAUUGCAUUACUAGAUUUAAUUUAUUUGAUUAGAAUAUAAGAUUCAAAUAUUUAAUUAAUAAAAUAUAAAAUUAUCUAUAAACAGUUUUUACUAUAUUGCUCUUGUUAUAGAAUUUUUUCUUUUAUAAGUUUACUUUUUUAACAUAUUUUAGUCUCAAGCUUUUGGUAAAAUUAUAAAAUUUAAUAAAUUCAUUUUUAUUACAUAUUGAUUUUAUCAUAUGGGUUCAGCUUAACAAUCACUUAUCCUAAUUAUUUUUUUUUCUAAACAAUUAAAUUCAAAAUUCUCAUAUAAAAUUCUAACCUUAGAUGGAGCAAGCAAAAUUGCAACAAAUUGUGAGAUGCUGGGAUCUUGUACCUCUUUAAUAGAAAGUAUUUCACAUGUAGAAUAAAAUAUAUAUAUAUAUAAAGUAAAUAAAUUACGGGAGUUAGGUGUCAUAGUAAGGGUCUCUACUACCUUAAUUAGUGCUUGAGGGUUCGAUCCUCGUCUUAGGUAUGAAGCAGCUUUAAAACUUGUGGCCAAUAUCUAUUAACACCCCUAAUCCAUAUCCGUCGCCGGAACAGAGUUACAGAGUAUUACUGAGGAUAACUGAAUAUGUAUAAUCAAAUCGAGUCAAAUUUACCAUUCAUAAAUGAAAACAUUUUAACUGUCCCUUAAUAGACUCUUGAGGCCCAAAAUAAACAUUAGAAUCGAGUUGGGACUUAUUCGGAGUCUCAGAGAAAAUUUCAUGAAACUACAAAAUUUUUCACACAUGCAUGGCUCACACGCUCGUGUGGGCAGGCUGUGUGGUUAAACACGCCCAUGUCCUAACCCUGUGUAACUCUUUGACUUACAUCCUAUGAACAACUUGAAGUCACACGCCUAUGUGCUAGGCCGUGUGGUUAUUUUAAAUUUUACAAUUUAAGUACAGGUUUCACACGGCAAAAUCACAUAACCAUGUCUAUGACCAAGUUACCCACACGGUUGAGACACAUGCCCGUGUCUCUGUCCGUGUGCUUAAUUCCGAGCAUUCUGCUUCUAAAUUUUAAGGUGCAGGGGACACACGGCUACAACACAUGCUCGUGGGGCAAACCAUGUGUCACACACGGCCUAGACGCACACCCGUGUGUCUACCCAUGUGAAAAAAAAGGCUAUUUUAAGACCACAUUUCUCACCCUUUUUAUAAUCUACCUGCACACAACCUUCAAAUACACAAAUAUGUCCAAACCAAUCAACCAAAUUAACCAAAAUACAAGUUUUUCAUCUACCAACAUACCAUAUACUAAUUUAUCCUAAUUUUGUCAAAAUGGUUUCAUUCAUUACCUUACCAAAAUAACUUCAAAACAUAAAUAUUCAAACAUACAAUCUUCAAUAUUUCAAAACUACAUCUUUCAACCCUGUCCUAUACAUGCCAUAUAAAUCAAAAGUUACAUUCAAAAUCUACCGGUGUAACUCUGGAUAGUGCUUUACGAUGUGUUGAUCCGAUCCACCGAUAUCACGCAAUCUACAAAAACCAUUAACACACAAAGUAAGUUUGGGAGCUUAGUAAGUUCAUAGGUUUUAAAUAACAAUCUUACCAAGCAUUCACAACUAAUUCAAUCAAUAAAAUUAAACAUACAAUUCCUGUCAAAUACAAUUUCAAACGAUGAGUUCACUCAAUUGAGCACAAUACCCAAAUAUCAAUUCAUAAUUCAACACUUAACCUCAACUAUCACUUACCCACACAUGCCAAAUUAAGGGACAACUUAUGGAUUUGAGUACGUCGUUUGCUCAGUGCCACGAUUCACAACUCAGUAUGGUUAAUACCAUACCUACGUUUCACAACUUGGUAUGGGAUAUACCAUACCUACGUAUUAUAGCUCAAUAUGGAAAUACCAUACAUACGUAUCAUAGCUCAAUAUGGAUAAUACCAUACCUACGUAUCAUAGCUCAGUAUGAAAAUACCAUACCUACGUAUCAUAGCUCAGUAUGGAUAAUACCAUACCUACGUGUCAUAACUUUUCCAUGGAUUAACCAUGGUCUUAUCCAUCAAUUCAUCACUUGUCACAACACGAAUGUACUCAAUCCUGCGUUUUCCUCAAUUUGAACUUCCAAUCCGAUGUUUAUAAUAUUUCACAUUAUUGACAAUACAAUAGUAACAUGUAGAUGACAUUACAUCAUUUUUAAUUGAACAAAUAAUCGCACAAUUUAACCAUAUGAACUUACUUGAGCCAAUUUGUAAAAGUUGUACUAUUUCAAGGACUAUUCGGCAACUUUUCCUUUUCCUCUUUUAUCUUUUUAUUCUUGAUCUAGAAUAUAAAAUUAUUUACUUAUCAGCAUCUACUUCAAUUCCAAUUCAAUUCAUGCUUUAUGCUCUUCAAUUUUUUAAAUUACACAUUUACCCAAACUUUAAAGUUUUACAAUUUAGUCCCUAAUUAAUUAACUUAUCAAUUGAGCUGAUUUUUCAUCAAUUAACACUUUAUUAUAUCAUUUUAAACUACUUCAUAACCUUUGGAAAUCAGAAUUUCAACACCAAACCUAAUUUCAACAUUUUUCACAAUUAGGUCCAAAACAUCAAUUUCUAUUGAAAUUACUUAAAUAAAUCAUUUCAAAACCAAAUUAAAGCUUCAUUUCAUACUAAUUCACCAUAAAAUUUCAGCACUCAUCCAUGGAAACUUAAAAAAUCAUCCAUAGAAUCAAAAACUAAUGAAUUAGAUAGUAGGACCUAGUUGUAAAAGUUUUAAAAAUACAAAAAUUACAAGAAUAAAGAAAGAAUUUACUCACUUGAUGCAAAAAUUAUGAAAAACAAGCUUACAAAACCCUCCUAUGGCAUUUUUGGCUGAUGAGAAUAAAGAAAAUAAAGAGAAAUCUAGAUAUUUCCACUUUAAUCCUAUCUUUAUUUAGUUAAUUUUGUAAUUUUCUAAUUUUACCCUUAUUUCCUCAAUUUUUAUGAUUUUUCUCUGCUUGUGCCACCCAAAAUAUCUCCCUUGGCUUAUUUAUACUUUAGAUCCUUUCCUAUUUGGUAACUGAGCUAUUUAAUCCUUCUAACAACUUUUACACAUUUUUCAAUUUAGUUCUUUUUAUUUAAUUACCACCCAAACGUUAAAAUUUUCUAAUGAAAUUUUAAUAACACAUUAAUAACACCCCAUAAAUAUUAAAAAUAAUAUUUUUGACUCAGUUUUAUGAAAUAGAGGUCUCGAUACCCCGUUUUCGAUUCAAUUUAUUUAAUAAUUUCUCCUUAAAUUUUAAUUUCACCUAUUUAAAAAUAUUUCUAAUAUCUCACUCACUUUUAAAUAUUAUUUUUAUUUAAUUUUCUAAUAUUAUUCGUCAGAUUUAGUGAUCUUGAAUCAUUAUUUCGACACUACCGAAAUUUUAAGCUAAUACAAUCUACCCCUUAAUAAUCAAGUUGCAUGAUAAUAUGAGAAAUGUUGUUUCUUGCAAUAAUAAACCCAAUACUCAAUGACCAUAACUUCAUAUAGGCUUCGUUUGGUAACCUGAAAAAGCUUUUAUGGAAAAGCUUUUUCAGGCUUUUUUGAUGUUUGGUUGGCUGAAAAUAAUUUUCUAGGAUAAAAUAUUUUACAAACAUGGAAAAGUAAGUAUUUUUUUAAGGAAAAUGUCUUACCUUUUGAAUUUGGUAAGACAUUUUUCGGGAAAUGACACCUUCUCCCCUUUCCCCUUCCCCUUCCCCUUCCCCUUGGGUUGCAAAUUAGUUUGGUCAAGGACCUUUUCCGGUUCUUCGUCAUCUCCUUCUCCUUCUUCCGUUUUUCAUUUCUUUUCCUUCUUCUGUUCUUCAUCUUCUCUUCCAGGUAAAAGUCCAACAUUGUAUGUGGCCUUUGAUGAUGUUUGUGGGCUUGAACUCUUAAUGAUUUCUCCAUUCUUGCAUCCUUGAUGGUCAUUUUGCUAUUCACAGGCCAUUUAUAUUUUUUUGCUUUCUUCUUAAUUCUCAUAUUGGCUUUCUUCUGAAUAUUCAUGUGAUUAUCUAGAUUUUUACCUUUAGCUUUUCUUGAAGUGUUUAAUUUUAGCCUUUAAAAAAGUUGUCUUUUAAUUUUAGCCUUUAAAAAAGUUUUCUGUCUUUCAUGUUGGUUCCUCAUUUUUUUUCCUUUGUUUCUUAAGGUUUUUUCUUCUUUCACAAUUAUACCUGUCUAGCGACAUGCUGCAUUUAACCAUCUUUGAGGAAACUUAUCUUUCAAGAGCCAUUUGACAUUAGUUUGAUAUUUUCACAAGGUUCCUGUUUGUGUUUCUUUGGAAACAGUAUGCCUGCAAUGCUGUCCUUAUUCCUUCCUAGAAAACCCGCCAAUCGAAUGCUCUGCUGCACAACUAUUGCAUUUGUGUGAGUGCUAACUUGUGUAUUUUCAUUUGUUGUUUCUUGAGAUCAUAGCUAAAUGUGUUUUGUCUUUAAUAUUGGAAUUUGGAGUAAUCCUUUUAUUAAACUCUCUUCAUGCAUGUCGCAGUCUAAACAUGGUUGAGGCACUGAUAUUACAUAUCAUUCUUAUGGAGACAAAUGAUUUUUUUUUUAUUAAUUAUUUUCCAGGCUUCUGAUUCUAUGGAGUAUGGUGAGAAUCUUGUCGGCUUGAAGGUGAAGGUCUGGUGGCCCAAAGACCGUGAGUAAGUAUAUAUAUUAUUCAAUUGUUGCAGAAGUGAUCCUCUGAAGUAGAAAAGAUGAAUUUUUUUUGUUUAUAUCUUUUUUUUAUGCGUAUGCACGUGCGGGCAUUUAUCUAAUGUGUGAUUGUGCUUAUAUAUGUUGGAGCCCCCCUCCUUCAAAUUUUAAUGUCAACGAAUUAAAGUUGCUUAGCCUUGAAGCUUAUUAUCAUUAUAUAAGCUCUUUUUCCCUUGUUUUCUCACACUUGGAUCUUUUAUUUGCUGCAAGAAAAAAAAAUUGAUAAAUGUAGACUGUUCUCUUUCAAAGGUGGAAUGUCUUCUAAUUUCUUUCUCCCAUUAUGAAUUUUGUUUUGCAGGUUCUAUUAAGGUUUUAUUCAUUCAUUUGAUUCCGCUAAGAAGAAGCACAAGGUGACACGUUUAAUGAGUAGAAAUUCAUUUUAGUGUUUUCUUUUCCUUAGUAUGUUACUGGAAGUUUUUCCUCUGACCAUUCAUGCUAGAAUGUAUUAAAUUAUUUUCUUCAAUUUUCAUUUGUUUAUAGGUGCACUAUAAUGACGGUGAUGAAGAAAUUUUAAAUCUUACGAGAGAGAAAUGGACUGUGAUUGAAGACGAGUCAAGGUCAGAUGAGGUGGGCAGUCCAUAAGCAAUUGAUUUUUUAUUUGUUCGUGUACAAGUUAUAAUUCAGAUCGUGACACUCCUAUUGUUUUGCAUUAAUUUCUUCUAUAUUGUUUGAUUAAAAUAAGAGUUUCUAAUAAUGUAAGGCUAAAGUCAUUAUAACUUAAAAUUUUUUACAAUGCUUGAAAUUGUUGUUUAUUGUUGCUCCAUUUUAUGGAUCGUUAGGUGAUAAUUGGUCCUUUGGCGAUAUAAUAAAAUGCAUGUCUGAGUGAAUUCACUAGCUAAAUGUUUUAUGAUCAAUGCUGGAAACUUUUGCUUCUGAAUAUGCUUGCAGUGGGAAUUUUUGUUGUUAAGACUCUUGUGACUUCUUUUAUGACUCUUCAACAGUUUGAUUUGAUAUUGCUAACAUGCUUAUUUGAAGCUAUGAAUUUAUUCUACAUUAUCUUUGUUAUUUGCUUUGCUUAUGCCCUUGAAUCUGAAUUUUGGAUACCCGGAUAUUAUUUUCAAUGUCAUUGAAUAGUCAUUUCAACACUCUACUUUUUUAUAUCUUUACUUUUUAAGAAUAUAUAGGUUCUAUUGAUGUCUAACAUACCAUAACCAUAAUUCUCCUUAAUGCACUAAAAGGAAUAUGCACUACUUUGUUAGUAAGCAAGGUACAAGAUGUUGUUGAACUUUGGCCUGCAAUGCAAUAGCAAACCAAUAGCAAACCAACAUGCAGACCAGCAUCCAAGCUGAACCAGAGAAGCAGUAGCAUUUUGUUUAUUUUGUUCAUUUGUAACUUGAUUUAGUUCUAAUGUAAUUUAUACUUAAAGUUAGUAGGAGUAGUUGUUGAUUUAUGUUUGAUGUUAUGACUGGUAUGUUAGCUACAUUUUGUGUGUAAGCUAAGCUUUAGUCAUGUAUUAGUGGGAGCAGUUACACAUUAGGUAACUGGCAUAUUUCAUUGUAACAUAAAUGCUUCUCAAGUCAAUGAAAAAGAUCUGAUUUUUGGAGAUCAAAUUCAGUUUUCUUCUUGUUCAAACUUCUUUGCAUUCGUUUUUCUUUUUCUCCUUAGUAAACUAACACAUGUAAUCCGGACUACUUAUGUAUAUGGCAUAUUGCUUAUUCAAGUAAUGAAGUUAAUCUUUACAUGAUUCAAGUUACUUGCUUCUGUUUUCUUCCUCUGCUGUCAAAACCCCAACAGAUGUGAUUUCCAGCUCUUCCCUUUAGCAUUGAUGACCAGUUCAAUGCUCGACAUUGCACGUUCUACAUGGUGGCCAUAGGCUGUUUCAGUUACUAGCCAACGACUAGUUUCAGUUUUAAAAUUAUUUGGUGCUAGCAAUACUUGCAUUGAGUUACUGAUGACAAACAUUUGAAAUAACAUGCAUUAAGACGCACAGACAUUGAGGAAAAGGGUAUUGUAAAUAUUUCAUUAAAGAGAUUUGAAAGAAGAAUGGAUAGUUCUGUAUUUAUGUCAAACUUAUUUAUACAUGUUUUUUUUCUCUUCAUGUAUUUGGCAUUAUGGAUCUAUUUGUCAGAAUUCAUAAAUUAAAGCUAGUUCAAGAUAUAUGAAUUUAUUGUUUAUGGAAUUUUCAAAGCUUUGUCUUACAAGACAUGCGUCCAAGUGCAGUAAUAGUUUUUUGUGCUUUGAGUUUAAUUUUAAAUAUUUUACAUUUUGCAUUGUUCUUCUCCCUCUUAUUUUUUAAUGUAUAUUUUAGCUUAAUAAUUGAGUAUUAUUAUAUAUUUAAUUUUAUUUAUUUAUUUAUAAAUAAAUCAUUGCAAUAUAUGUAAAAAUAAUUUAAAAUAUAAAUUUAUUAAUAUAUAUAAAACCAGCUUUUCCGGAAAAUAUUUUCAGGAAAUCUGCCAAACAACAGAAAAUAUUUUACACAGAUUCAUCCAAACAACAGAAAAGUAAAUCAUUUCCAAAAAUAUAAAUUAUUUUCCAGAAAUCAUUUUUCGAAAAAUAUUUUACUGGCAAACAAACAGAGCCAUAGUUUUUUUUAAAAGGUUUAUAUGAAAAAUAGAUACCCAAAUUAUGAAAAUUUUCUCAUUUAGGUACUCAAAUUAUACAACCUUUCUCAUUUAAGUACCUAAAUAUUUUUAUUUAAUUAAAAAGCUAUGUGUCGUAAUUUGAUUCGCUUAGAGAUUUUUUUUAAUUGAAUUUAACAGGUGAUACUUAAAGUGGUAACAAAAUAAAACUUUAAAUAUCUCUUUUGACCAAAAAAAAAAGCCUAAAUAAAAAAAUUGUAUAAUUUUUUAAACAAUACUUAGAACUAUCUAUGACCCAUCUCUAACCCUUAAAUCGUAAGAUAAUGCGUUUCAAUAUACUUGAAUUCACGUCCUCUUACACUGAUAAUAAUAUCGAUAUCAAUCAAGCUAACGCCGAAUCCACUCAUAUAAAUCUUUUUAAAACAACCUAUCUAUAAUUAUUGAAAAAAAAAAGGAAUUAUUGAAAAAACUGUUGGUAGUGUCAUAAUCUUUAGACAAUCUGGCUCACACUCUGUGCACACGGUUUUCAGUUGGGCCGCCCUGGAAGCAGUCCCGGUUUCUGCUUCUUCCUUUUAUUAAUGGUCCCAUCCCUUUUUACUUUUAAUCAUUUUCUUUAAAUAUAUACACAAAUAUUAACUAUUUUUAAUAAUUACAAAAAUAUGCAUCUCAAUUAUAUUUUUAAUUCAAUAUUAACAAUCUAAUCUCAUUGAUUAAAAUAAAUUUUAAAAAAUAAAAAUAAUUAUUUUUAUUAUUCGAUUUUAAUGGAAUUAAAUGGACCAACAAUUUCCAUGGUCAAUCUAUAUUCUAUAGUAUAUUCCAUGGUGUUUUAUUGAGUUUUUUACCCCAAUAUUAAAAAAAAAAUUAUAUACGAAAAUGAGUUGUCAGCUAGAUUAAUUACGAAAAUGGUAUAAAUUUUGAGGUCACGCCUACCUGACAGGCGCAACACAAUUUUUUAAUAUUAAUUUUUUUGUUUAAAAAAAUUAUUAUUAUUAUAUUAUUUUUUUUUAAUAUUUAUAAUAAUAUAUGGGUAAAAAUAUAGGUUUUAUACGGGUGGAAAAUACCCAAAAACGGGUCGUGCCUGUCAGGUAGACACGACUAGUCGCGCCUGACAGGUAGGCGCAACUGCCACGUCAACUCCCCCUGCUCUCUUUUUUUCUUCUUUCCCGAAUUGCGCUUGUGUUGCAUAUUUUCGUAAAAUAUUUAUUCUUUUUUAGCAGGAUUUCCAAUACCCCAUAUAAUAUGUUGAUGUGCCUAAUUUUUUUGUAAUUUAGCUGACAACCUAUUUAGAUAUAUAAUUUUUUUUGAUUUAAAAAUUUUAUUUAAAAAAACUCCUCUUACCUAGCCUCGUAAGAAACUUUAAAUAUAAAUUUUUAUAGUUUUAGCGAAGAUUUAAAUAUAAAUUUAAAUAUUUUUAAUAAAAAUAAAAUGUGCAUGACAUAUUAUACGAGGUAUUGGAAAUCCUGCUAAAAAAGAACAAAUAUUUUACGAAAAUGUGCAACACAAGGGCAAUUCAGGAAAGAAGAAAAAAAGAGAGCAGGGGAGCUGACAUGGCAGUGCACAACCUGUCAGGCGCGACUAGUCGCACCUACUUGACAGGCUCGACCCGUUUCGGGUAUUUCUCACCCGUAUAAAACCCAUAUUUUUACCUAUAUAUUAUAUUAAAUAUUUUAAAAAAUAAUAAUAAUAUAAUAAUUUUUUAAAACGAAAAAAAAUUAAUAUUAAAAAAUUGUGUUGCGCCCGUCAAGUAGGCGCGACCCCAAAAUUUAUACCAUUUUCGUAAUUAAUCUAGUUGACAACUCAUUUUCGUGUAUAAUUUUUUUUUUAUAAUAUUGGGGUAAAAAACCUGUUUUAUUUAAGUUCUUUAAUAGGAUCUAGCAAGACGGUACAUUUUGACCACUACAAUUCCUUUUAUAAUUGAAGUAAAAUUGACUGUUUAUUUAAAGAAAAAAAUCUGUUUGAUGCCAAUUGUAGUUCAAACUUGUAGCAACAAUGUAAUGGUUUUAUAGGGAAUUACAUAAAAAAUGUAGUAUAAUUUGACCACCCAAAUUUGGAUAUAGUUACGUAUUUAAUUAUUAUUCUUCAUUUGUUAAUUGAGUCUUACCUUGAUUAGUAUGAGUGUUGUUAUCAAUAUAGGAAAACGUAGGUUUGAAUGCCUGAAAUACAUUAUCUUCCAAUUUAUAGGUUGGAAAGGAGCUAUGAAUCAUUUUAGACAUUAUAUCAAAAAAACCUCUAACUCAACUCGUAAAUAAUAAGUAACCUGUAAAUCCUUGUCGUAUUUCGAAUUGAUAAUGUUUCAUGCUAUAUUAAAUAGUAUCCAUGAUGGGAUGAAAAUUUGUACUAUAUUAACAAGAAGGAUAGUUACAUUGAGUUGAAACAAAAUUAAGAAAAAAAAAAGUACAAAGGAAAAGAGCUACCUAAAGAUCACACAAGCCUUUUUGAUACUACAAACUUUUUCCUAAUCCUAUUUUUUUAUUUGAAGUAUAAACAAAAUCUACUCAAAAGUGAAAAAUAAAAAAAGAGAUUAAGAAGCAGCAAUUUUUUUAAAGUGAAUGAGCCUAUUAUCUGCCAAUCUGGAAUUAUAAGCAGAUUUCUUGUACUCGAACCAAGUAAAUUCUUUAUAUAAGCUUUGCUGAUCACCUCUCAUCAAAGAUGGCAAAGGUGCUAUUUUCUCACUCAAUGGUGGUCCACCAAAAUAAAUCAUUGAUAGCCUUGAUUUCACACUGUUGGUCACUACCCUAUGUUUUACACUUUUAAACCUUCCAUUGGUCAUUACCUGCAAAAACAAACAUCCGUUACAGAAAAUUCAAGAACUGACCCAAAGUUUCAAAUCUAAACUGUAUUGUGUAACCAAGAAAGGGAGAAAAAAGAAAUUUAUUUAAGUGGGGACUGUAAUAUGUAAGUGAGAUAUGACAGAUAUUCAAGUGAUGAAAACAAUUCAAAAAGAAUAUUCCAAUUAGUUCUUUUUCUUGUAAAAAGAAUCCAUGAAAUAGGGAUUUCUUAUUUUUCUAGCAUGAGUUAUGGAGGUAAAAAUAUUAUGGAAGUUUGUAUUAAUCUUUAGAAAUUAAUUUUUAAUAAUAGGAAUAGAUGAAAAUUUUAAUGCAAUCUAAUUUUUUAUUAAUAUUUUUAAGGUAUUUUUAUAUUUACCAUACCUGUAAGGAGUCACCAACAUUGAUGAAGAAUGAGGUUUGGUCAGGUGGCACUGAAAUCCAGCUUCCUUCUCUUAGAGAGAUUUGAAGACCAGAAGUGUUGUUAGAUCUCAACACUGAGAUAAUUUGUGGAUCAGUGUGUUCACCAAAUCCAAUCACAUCCCCAUUGCCAUUGCCAUUACCACUCAAAGGUUGAACAUUAGGGCAUGGUGGGUAAUGAUUCACCCUGAAAACAGAGUCACUCUCUUCAUCCAUCAACAGCUUGCUCAACACAUUCCUGGGUUGUAUCUUCAACCCAUCAGCCAUCAUUUCAAGUAUCUCACACGCCAUUUUCUUUACUGAUUUCAUAUAAUUAUUCAAAGCCACCCUGAAAAAGAAAAACAAUAAAUAAAAUUGAAACACCCCCCAAAAAACAAAAAGAAUUCCCAUUUCUUUUAGUGUUCUGUUUUAGAGACCUCAAAGUUUGGAAGCUAUGGAGACUGGGGUCUUGAUUAGUAGUCAAAAGAAGAUACUCAACCCAACCAACAUCACCUUGUGUACCAAUCCUUUUAUGACCAUAGCCAUAAGGUUGAGUUUGUCCUGUUUUUUGUUUCUCACAAAGUGGUAAACUGAAGAACUUGGUAGCUUCGGAUUCCAACACGGAAAUGGAUUCCAUUGGAACCCCAUGGUUGAUCACCUUGAAGAACCCAAACUCUUCACAAGCUUUGAUUAUUUGGUGUUUUGAAUCAGGUUUUGAGAGGUCUACAAGUGGGAUUUGAGUGAACAAUGUGGUUGGUUUGUUGUUUUUCAGGUAAGAAGAGAACUGUUCAAUUGCUGGUUUUGACACCACCACCAUUGUCAGUUGUUUAUGUUAUUCAAUGUGGGGGUAUGGAUGGAUAUUGAGAUUGAUAAGAGGUUUGCAAUGAAGGGUACAUGAACAAAAGGCAUUGGGUUUUGCUUGGCUAUUUAUAGGAAUAGAGGAAGUGAGAGUUUUUGGAGAUAAGCAACAAAUGUUUUAUAUUUAAUUAAAAAUAUUAUUUUUAUUUUUAUUUUCUUUUAAAAAAUAAUAGAUAAGAUACAUUGUUUUUUGACAUUUAUUUUUACUUCCUAACAUGCUUAGGUCGGCCAUACGGGCUUCACACGAAAAAAGCAGUCUAGUCAACACCAGUCACCUAAUUUUAUUACAAAAUCCGAUUUCGUUUAGUACAUCUUAUAUUCCAAUGUGAUUGUUAAUGUUAUUUUGAGGUUUUUAGAGUUUUACAACGUUUUUAAAUCGAAUCGAUAAUGAAGUUGGUUAAGUUAUGAGUUCGACAGUUUAAUUAAUUUAAUUGAUUUAAUUAAAAAUUUAUUAAAAAUUCAAGAAAAAGAACCCCUGUUCAAUCAAUUUAAUUAUUGGUUCAACUAGUCUUUUAGCCAGUUGUUGAUCUAACUGGUUCAAAACCCUUUUUUAAAAUAAUACCUCAGUUAAUUUUCGGUCCAACUAGUUCAACCAGCUAGUUUAGUCCGGUUCAAACAUCUUUGAUUCAUACCAUGUUUAGAUUCUAUUUAAGAUUCUCUUGAAAUAAGUUGAGAUAAAUUCUGAUUAUCAAUCUAAUCAUGCUUUAUAAUAGAUUGAAUUAUUUAUGAUUGUACUUAUAGUCAAGGUUUUUAAAAUUGGACAAAUGGAUGAACUAGUCAAACCAUCAAUUCAAUUGGUUCGUCCUAUUUAAUUAAAUAAAUUAUUAAAAAAUCAUAAAAUGUAAAAAGAUUAGUUCAAGUACCCGAUUGAACUGAUUCAUAUUAAUUCCUCAGCCAACUGGUUCAAUACCCAUUUCCCAAUUAAUACUCUAACCAACUCCCGAUUUGACCUGUCAUUCCAAUCCAAUCCAAUCCAAUUAAUCUUUCUUUAACAAAAUAUUCCUUUUCAAUUAUUUAUAAUCAAUAUUUUAAAUUCUUAAAUUCUUCAUUCACUUAAAUUCUUUUAUUAAAAAGAAUCAAAUUCCAUCUCAAUCAACCACAUAUAUGAUAUCAAUUUGUUUCCUUUUAAUUUCUUUUCUAUAUUAAAAUAUAAUGAUAUUAUUGUUGGUAGGUAAAUUCAUUGGACUUAAGUUAUAGGUAAGGAGAUAAGUUUAUCUUGUAUAUUCUUUAAUCUACUUUUCAAAAAUCAUGGACUAUAAUGAAAACAUUGCUACAAUUUCACUUGUUUAUUUUUAAAAAGUUGGAGGGUACAAUUAUAUCAGGUUUGAUUCUCCAUAGGACCUACUUUGUAUAUAAUUGUAAGGGUCUGGUUUGAGAGUAUCUAAAGUUCAUGGUGUUUGUAAAAACACCUUUAAAAAUAUAAAUAUAAUUAUAUUUUAAUUAAAUUUAAAUAAAUAUAAAAUACAAUAAAAUUGUGGGACUUACUUGUUAAUAUGUUUUGAUAUUUUGAUUUUAAGAUUAAGUAUAAAAUAUACCUAAUUAAUAAAAAUAUAUUUUUAGUUUAAUGAUAUGAUCCUAAAUUAAUAUAUAUUUAAAAAAUUUCACUGAACAUAAAAAUAAAUGUCGAUUGAGUCUUAUCUAAGUCUCAAUUAAUAUAGAUAUUUUCUGAUGAAAAGAGCUGGAAAUUCACUUUUGCAUAUUUAUUUUUCCUAUAAAAAAAUGGGAAAUUAUUCUUGAAAUUCCAUCGGAAAAUAAAUCUAUUUUGAUGUAUAUUAUCUAUGAUAUUUAUAUGAUAUUUCAUUUUCAUUUCCACUUUUAAAUUUCAAUUUGUUCAUUAACAAUUUUUUUAAAAAAAAUUGUUUUCUUUUAAGUCAUGAAUUAAUUAUGUCGAUAUUUAUUAAAAAAAUUAUCAAUAUUAUUAUGUCACGUGUUGCAAAUCUAGUUCGAAAAGAUAAACAAAAUUCACAUAAUUUAUCAUUGUGGGGGCAUGCAACUACAAGCGUCUAGGCCCUUCUAACUUUAUUGCAAGGACAUCCACAUGAAUAUCGGUAUAAUGUUAUAUAUAAGGUAUUACAUUUAAUAUUUUUUGUUUUCUUAAAUACUAUGAUUUAAAUAAACCCUGAAAUUUAAAAUUAUUAACCAAAAUAUGAUUACUGAGUUAGUAUUAUGCUUCAUGGACCAAAUUAUAAAAUAAAUAAUUUAUUUUUAUUAAGAUUAUAUUAAUAAUUUAAUUAUUUUAAAAUGAAAAAAAAAGAAGAUUAAUUCUAAGUCUAACUCUACUAUGAAAACUGAAAAGUUGAUUUCUCUAUAUUAAUUUGUUAAAAUUUAGUCAUCAUAUUUUACAAAAAAUUAAAAAAUUAGUCCAGAUAGAUAUCAUUAUUAAACAUUUUUGUUAAAUCACUAGAAAUUUCCAAUUCCAUAAUUAGAAAAAAAAACUUUAUUUACCUAUUCUCCAUUAGAAAAUUAGUACAUAUAAAUAAUGAAAAUGUUUGCACUAAAGAUUUAAAUUUCCCUUUAAAAACCUAAUUUAUAAAACCAAGUGAUUCAUUUAUUCUUCUUGCACAAAAUACACUCACAAAAAUAAUUUCUAAAGAACAUAAUAAAUGCCGAAACUCACUCUUUAUAUAAUUCUUAUGCAAGUCUUGCAUAUAAAGUCUUUUUGGACUUGCUAACAUUGAGAUCAAUCAUAAUGCAAUUCCCCAAAGUAGCAUCAGGAAUAUCCUCAUAAAGUCUAGGAUAUUUAGAGAUAUCCCAAAAUUAAUUUUUCAAGUCAAUCGAUUCAAUAUACUUAAAUUGAAAAAUCUAAUUUACUCGAUCCCAUUUAAUCUAAUUUGCAAUAAUUUGUUGCUUCAAAUAACUGAUCUUAAAUGGGCCAACACACUUCCAAAAUAUCAUAUAAGUUUAUGGACCAAAUGUUUUUGUUUCAAAAGAUUAUCAAAACUUGAAAAGUGCCAAGUGCAGUUGUAACUGUUCUGCAUCACUGCUCUCAUAAUUGCCUCGAAACACGUAUUUUUAUAAGAAACGUUGUGACCUUCAAAACUAUCUGGCUUUCUAUCUAGUAUUUGGGGACGUAACGUUGCUAUAUGCUAUUACAAACACUACUACUCUAGUGAAAAACGCCAUAGAAAAUCUAUUUUGAUGUAUUAGCCAUACAAUUAUAAAAGCAUAAUCAAACAAUUACAAAUUAAUAGAAUCAAAUCAAUAUAAAACAAAAUAGAUUAAGGUUCAAAAUAUAAUCAAACAAAACACACAUGAUAAUUGCGCAUAAUAAAAUUCAAAACUCAUGUAUGACAAUAAUCCAUGAUAAAACUUGAAUCUGGAUAAAUAAUACCCAAUGCCUAAUCUCUUUUAAUAAUGUCAAGACAUCAUUGAUAACAUUUCAUAUAUUUACAUCAUCGUGUAUGUAUAGACAGAUAAAUAAAUAGAAAAUAUCUACAAACUAUUUCUUUUUAUUCUUGUAUUCAACAACAUCCAUGUCAUAAUUAAUAAUUAUUGAUACUAAUUCAUCAGUCAUUACAAAUUAAUAACUUGGCAUCUCAAACGUUUAGUUCAAUGACAAUGUGGAUAUCUAUCUUGAGUAUGUGUAGCACUAUCUAUGUUUGGAUGUCAGUUGACUGAAAUAUAGGUGAAGUGAAAAAAAUUACGUUGAGUUCUCCGAUUAACAUCAAUUUAAAGUUUGAUAUCCAAACAAUCCCUACGAUCUAAUUUGAUUUCAUAAUUGCAGACGGUUUUAUUUUUACUUCUUAAAUUUUUAUCAUUUUGUUUCCAAUAUUUAAUAAGAAAUCUUCAUAUUAAAAUGUCCAAAUAUAUUUUCAAUUAAGUCCACUAAUAACCGUUGAGUCCAGUGGUAAAGUAUUUUACAUUUUUAAGGAUAGAAUGUAAGUUUAAAUUUUAAAGAUAACAUUAUUAAAGAAAAGUCACAAACUUCGAAUAUGAACUAUAAAACAGAUAUAGAGUAUAAAAAGAAAAUCUAAAUAUUUGUAAUACCAUUCAUUUAGAAUAUUUACAAAAACAAGCUUAAUUAAUAGCAAUUCCUUUUUUGAGGAAGGAGGAACUUGUUACUUAAAUAGAUAAUAUUUAUACUAUUUUUUCUCGAAAAGUCAAAAUAGAAACUUCCUUCACGCCAAUGUAUAUACAUUUGUUAUUAAACCAAAUAUCUAGCUAAUUGCUACCAAAAAUAAUUCUUGAAUAAUAAAUUUAGAAUGGGGAGGUUGAUUUCGUGAAGAGAAAUCUGCAAAGUUUCGUAUGUUGAGAGGGAAUAAAUUCAUUGAAUGAAAGCAUUUGAUUGGUUGUUUGAAAAAGUGAAUCAUGCUUGACAUAGUUGAACUCAAGUAGUAGCAUUCUCACCCAAAAAUGUCCUAUAAACUUUAGAGUUAAGGUUUGAGUCUAAAUAUAUGCAAUACGAUGAUUUAUUUUUUUAAAAUUUCGAUGAAAUAUUCUCACUUUAUUAAUUGCUUGAAAAAUUAAAAAACAAAACUUCCACAAGAAAUAAUAUCAAACCAUUUUGUUUAAAGAGGAAUAGUGUUUGUUUGACAAUGGAAUUUCAGCUUCUACACAAUAAUUUAAGAUCACAUGGAUACAGUUGGGAGAUGGCAUCUUAAUGUUUCAAAUUCAUCUCCCUAUACAAAUUAAUUCUAAUUUGUUUAAUCAAGUACAUGUUGUAUUUUUUAGGCAACUGUUUAAUCAACGACUUUAACAGUCAAUUUUGGUACAGUAUUCUUACUCCUAUUAUUAGUGCAUGUCUAUUAUUAUUAGUCCAUGAUAUUGACAAAUUAGGCAACACCAAUGAAAGUAAGCUUCUAAUCGACCAAGGUUUGUCCUUCAAAAAGUAUUUAUGUCUUAAAAAGAGUUCUCAAAAAAGCAUGUUAUUCUAUUCUUUGAAUAUCAUUAUUCUCUUACUACCAAAUCAAUUGUUUUAUAUUAUUUAUAAUCAUAAUCUAUAUAAAAAACACGAGUUUAAACGGACAAAUAUAUUUUAUUUUCAAUCAUAUUACUAAAAUCUCAUUUAAAAAUAAUUAUAAUUUAAUAGGAAUUGUAAUACUUAUACAUUUAAAAAUAAUUAGAAUUAAGUUACAAUUAUUAGUUAAAAGGUUGUGCCGAUGUAGAAUAGAAUUAUCACUUAAAUAGAAUUCUAAGCAUAACUUAUAGGAAAAAAUUGUGAUAAUUAUAAUUAUAUUUCUCAAUUAUUAUUUUAAAAACUUUGACAUAAAAAGUUGUGUUAAUUUUGUUGAUGUAAAAUAGAGCUAUUACUCGAAUAGAAUUUUAAACAUCUUAAUUAUAUUGUUUUGAGCAAUGUAUGUUACACUAAUUACAUAAAUUAAAAAUAAAUUAUAUAUUGAAUAUGUUAAAAAAUGCUUUAAUUAUUAUUUGAAUUUUUUUUAUUAUAAUACUUGAAUUGAUAAGGUAAUAUAUUUUAAUUAUAUUAAAAAUUCAAAUAAAAUAUAUUAUUUUAUGCUAAUUUUUGUAAUUAAAAAUACAAUAAUUAAAAAAUUAAUUAAAUAUUAAAUACAUAAAUUCACAUAUAACACGUGUGACAUUAGAAGCUAGUAUGCAUAUAAGUACGAGUUUAAAAAAAAUUUUAAUUAAAAAAGAUAUCCUUUAUUGUUAAUUAUAUUACUAAAUUGAUAUUAAAAAUAAUUUAUUAAUAUUAUUGUGUGAUAAUAAUAGAAGUGAUAUUAAUAAAUAUCAUAAUAUAUUAAUGCGAAAUUAAUUAAUUUGGUCAAAUCUUUUAAAAGUAAAAAAAAUAGCAUAAUAUAUUAUUAAUUAAUAAAAUUGUAAAUUCAUAAAAUUAUUGAAUAUAAUUGGGUAAAUUAAGAAUAUUUUUUAAAAUAUGAUAAUACUUAAUUAUAUUAAAAUAAAUUUUUAUAGUUAAUAAAAAUUAAAUCUAUAAAUAUGAUUUUAUUUUAAAUAUGAUAAUAUUUAUUUUAUUGAUAAUAUUUCUAUUAAAUCUUAAUAUAAAAUUAAUAUAUACAUUUUAUGUUUAUAUCAGAUUAAAUAAUUAUAUCAAUAAUAUUUUCAUUGUUAGUGUAAUAGUUAUUAUUAAUUAUUUAUUUUUUAAUUCAUAUUAAACUAGGCCUAUUAUUUUAGAUUAAUUUUUAUUUAGGUAUUAGUUGAUAAAUAUUGAAAAAUAAUAUUUUCGAUGAUUUAAUUUUGUUACACAUGUUUGAUAAUCCACAAUUAAAACAAUUCGAUAAUUUUUUUUUACAAAAAAGUGUAAAAAAUAAUAAGUAUAUAAAAGUUACUUAUCACUUAAUGGAGAAUAUUUUCAAUUAAUUCUAUUUUAUUUAUUUAUUUUUAAUAUUAUAUUAUCCUAUAAAAAUUUUAUGUUUAAAAUUUGUUUUUUUUUUGUUUAGAAUAAGAUGAAAUGCUUAAAAAUUAAAGACAAAAUGUAAAAUAAUUUUUUAUAAUUUAAACUCUAUAUUUAUCAAACAAUUUAAUUAUCAUUCUUAAUUAAUUUUAAGAAAUAUAUCAAACAAAUUUUAUAGCUUUAAUUUUCAACACUUAUUUUUUCAGCACUUAAUAUUUCAAUUUAUCAAAUAACACAUUAAUUAGUGUUACAGUUGUAUAUCAAUUAAAAUUAAUAUUUAGCACUUUAAAAUAACAUCUAAAGAAUUACUAAAAAAAUCACAUUUUAGGGUUUUGUUUCCAACACCAAGAAAAUGUAUGAUUUUCAUUAUUAUUUUGUGUCGCUACCUACAAUUUUCAUUUACUGAAUAACACAUGUAAUACCCAUACUCAAAUCGAUUGCCGGGUCCGAACUAUAAGAUACUACAUUCCCAUUUAAACUUUAACUUAUACUUUAAGUAUUAUUAACUGCAAUAAUAAAAUAAUAAAGACAAGAAUUUGAUACUGUCACUAAGUACAUUAAAAAAUUUCCAAGAAUUUAUGUCGUUAAUAAAACUUUAAUUUAGUAUACAACAAUAUUACCUAGUAAACCUUAACCUAUUAAAAAUCACUUAAUUUCAUUUACAACAAAAACCUUGAGACUCCGCCUCUAGGUCUCUCCGCUGUAUGCAAGUUACGACUAAGAAACAAAGUUUUCAUUGCAUAAUGAACUCCGGCCUAGUCCCUUCUCGAACUCUUACAAUUCCUAAGUUACAUGCAAGUUACGACUAAGAAACAAAGUUUUCAUUGCAUAAUGAACUCUGGCCUAGUCCCUUUUCGAACUCUUACAAUUCCUAAGUACAUGCUGUCGAAACCAUCUUUGUAAAAAUUUUAAAUUUAAAAAACGGAAAUGGAGUCGCCACCAAUCCUUUUUUGUUUAGGUGUGAUCGGAUCACCUAGAAAUUUGGUUAUUUUAAUAAAAUAUUUCUUUUUACUAAAACAAAAAUUUUGGUCUACGUAAAUAUGAGAAAACGGGUUUGGGAGUCGAUUACGUAUGAGGAAGGAUUAGCACCCUCAUUACGCUCAAAAUUGGUACCAAAUCGAUUAAAUAUUGUCCUUAUGUCUGAAAUUUAAAAAUGUUUUUGAAAUGUGGUUCCUUUUAAUAACAUUUGAAUAACCCGAGUUGGUUGCCAAAAUCUUCUUGUUUCGACAUCCGAAAGUUUAUAAUUUGAAAAUUACAAAAGGAUGCCCAACUAUUUGGUCUAAUGAAAAACCGAAACCCAGCACAAUAGGGCAGGAUUCCUCGAAUUUCCAAACAUUGAACAUUGCCUCACUUUAGAAAAUACGAGUGAAAUUACGAAGGGAUCGUCGAUUGUUUAGAACAAAUGAAAAAGCGCAACCCAGCACGAUAGGGCACGAUUCUCAAAUCGCCAAACAUCAAACAUCCUUUGUUUUGAAAGGUUUUUAAUAAACAUGAGUGAAAACCUAAAAGAAUAUUCGAUUGUUUUGAGCAAAUGGGAAAUCACAACCCAACACGUUAGGGCAUGAUUCUCGAAUUGUCAAACGCCGAAUAUUGCCUUCGUUUUAAAUGAUUUUUAGAAGACAUGCGUGAAAUUUUGAAGGGAUAUUUGAUUAUUUUGAGCAAACGCGAAAUUGCAACCCAACACGUUAGGGCACUAUUCCGCGAAUUGCCAAAUAUCGAAUCUCAUCUUUGUUUUAAAGAAUUUCUAAAUGAAUACUUAUAAAACUAGCUUAAAACAUAUUAAUGCAUUUUUUGGAAUGAGACGAAAUUAAUCAUAAAAUUUGGAUUUUAUAAAACCACAUUUCGAAAAUCAAAUGGAAAAUGAUGAAUGGGGUAAUAUGUACAUAUGAGAUACCAUACUUGAUGAAUGAGAAUAUUAAUCAACUAGCAGAAUAAACAAUUAAAUAAUUAACCUAAAUUAUAACCUAAUUCCAAUCGCGUAUGAACAAUAAUUGACAUAUCAACAAGAUGAAUACCAUGCAAUGAUAAUGUAUAUGCUACAAUAUAAAACAACCAACAAAAUAUAUGCAAAACAAAAUAGAAUUUAAAAGUCAAAGUAGUAUAAGACGAUGUCGAAACAAAGAUGAUCUAAUGAACCAAUAAUUUAUACGACAUGCGAAUUAAUGAAUUGGUGCAUUUCAAAUCUAUUUAUAAAAUAUAUAUUAUAAAAUGAAUGUUUUAAUCGAAUAUCAUACUAAAGCAUUAAAUAAUAUUGGUUUUAAAAAUGAGGAUUUAUAGUGUAAAAAAUUUUAAAUAUGUGUAAAAAAAUAAUAAUAAUAAAAAAGUAUAAUAUGAUAUAAUCUUUAAAAACAUAAUGACCUACAAAUUAUAUGCAUAUAUAAAUAACUUUUAAAAAAUAAUUAUUUGUAAAAACAUAGAAAUUCAUGCAUGCUUAAACUAAUUUUAUGACAAAUUAUAUAAUAGUGAUUUGAGAGAUAUAUUAUGUAAGAUUAUACAAUAAAGAGUGGGAGCAAAUUUAAGAAAUUAUAUACGCAAAAUAAUAUAGGAUUAGUAAAAUGAGCCUUGUUAUAAUAUCUAUAUAUAUCUAUAUAUGCAUAUAGAAGAACACUUUAAACAGAAAAUUUUAAAAGAAAAUAAAUAAAUAAAUAAAUAUAUAUAGUUACAUAUGGGUGUAUAUAUAAAAUAAUAAUAAUAAUAAUUUAAAAGAUGUAUUUCGUAGGAUUAUAUAAUAAAGUACAAAAAUAAUAUGAGGUUGAUAAUAGUAUAUAAAAAGACUUUAAUACAAAGUAUAUGUGUAUACAUAAUAGCGUAUAUAAAACAGUUACAUGAAACAUACAAAAUGUGAAAAUGACAUUACAAAAAAGAUUUACAAUAAGAACGAAACAAUUUCCUAAGUAUUUUAAAAUAUGUAAAUGAAUAAUUAAGGAUAAAAGGCUACAACAAAAUAAAUAAAUAAAUAAAGAAAGAAAGAAAGAAAACUUAAUUGGAAUUAAACUAAAAUUGCAGGGACAAUUUGAAAAUAAAACAAGAAUAAUAAAGGGACCGAUAAUUAAAGCGCACGUAUGUAGAGGGACCUAAACUGGAAAUAUACCGGCUCCCAAGGCGCAGCGUUUAAAUGCGGGCCAAAUUGUAAACGCACACAAAUUGCAGAGAUAAUUUAAAAAAAACAAUGAAAUACAUAUAUGGGCUGAUUAAAGUACGGCACAAAAGGGAGGGAUUUAAUGUGCAAAUAGUCCCUCACCAUAAAAACAUGCGGGUCAUCGAGUUUGGAAUUGAAUCGGGUCGGGCUUUGAUGUCAAUGCGACACCGUUUGAGGUCCUAUAAAAUGGCUCAAUCAGUAGAUUAAGCCAGCCCCCCAAACCCUAGCCUCUAUUUUUACUCCCCUCAAACGAACCUUGACCCUCCAUCUGCCAUGCCAAUCCACCGCAAUGAAUGGAGAUCAGCCUGUUCGAGCCUCAAGGUGAUUUUCUUUCCGCCUUACACUCUCCUCGGACCCCGAUUUCAACGAAGCAGAGGAGAUCUCACGGCGUAUUCACGAGGUAAGGUUUCAUUUCCUCUGUCUUUUAUACAACCCAAAAUGCGAAAGAACAAAAAGAAAUUCCAGGAAGAAUGAAACUAAGCCAAGAAGAAAAGGAAAAAUCUCAGAAAUUUUGAAUCGGAAUCACCUUCGAAUGCUCGUUGCUUUUUUUUGUAUUUCAAAAUGUAUCGAUUGUGCCUGUAUAGCCUAUUGUGCCUUUAUGUUGCGUAAAAAACUCACCUAGGCUAUUACAUGGCCUUUAUAGCCGAAAAGAAAGAAAAAUCAAAAAAUGAAAAUGCUAUUUUUCUUCUUCCCUAUUCGCUGCUGCUCUGUGUGUCUUUUUCGCAGGUACGGAGUCCGCUGGCAUCGUACGGAGGUGCGGGCGUGGCGUACGAGGGCUGUGCGCUGGUGCUGUUGGAGGCGUUGUCUGGCGCGAUGUGGUUAGGCCGCUAGUGAGGGCUGCGGCGCAAGGAGACCCUUGCCUUAGGGUUUGCCAAAAUUGGGCUCAGUUUCUGGGCCGUUUGGGGUAUUGGGCUAUGUCAUUUUGUAAAUGGACUUGUAAUUUGGGUCUUGGAUCAUUGGGGUUAAUUUGGUUUGAUUUUGGAUUGUAACUGGACAGAAAAUGGACUAUUGAUAUCUAGAUUUUUAUAAUAUUUAUUGUUUUUAUUUAUCUUUUUGUUUUUAUUCGGGCCGGGCAAAUUUGGCCCACUACACAUGCAAUACAUAAUAACACAAAUAAGUUCCAAAGAACUUAAUGGAUUUCCAUACCUUACUUGAUUGCAGUUGAC